UUGAAAUUUUGUUGGUAAAUUUACAAUCCAAUAUGCACACAUCAAGUUUGUUUACAUUGUCCAAUAUAAUAUUUUUUACAAUACUUAUGUUGUUGUUUUCAUCUUUUGUAAGAUGUGCACCACUCGUAGGAGAUGAAACACUAACAACCGAGAAGUGUGGCCUGAACUUCAACUGGCUCUCGAUGCAGGGCUGCGAAGGAUAAUAACAAAAAGGAAAUGUGCCAUAGAAACCAAAGA